GACGAACGCUGGCGGCGUGCUUAACACAUGCAAGUCGAACGGAAAGGCCCUGCUUGCAGGGUACUCGAGUGGCGAACGGGUGAGUAACACGUGGGUGAUCUGCCCUGCACUUCGGGAUAAGCCUGGGAAACUGGGUCUAAUACCGGAUAGGAGCCAUUUUUAGUGUGUUGGUUGGAAGGUUUUUUCGGGGUAGGAUGAUCUGGCGGCCUAUCAGCUUGUUGGUGGGGUAAUGGCCUACCAAGGCGGCGACGGGUAGCCGGCCUGGGAGGGUGGACGGCCACAUUGGGACUGAGAGACGGCCCAGACUCCUACGGGGGGCAGCAGGGGGGAAUAUUGCACAAUGGGGGCAAGCCUGAUGCAGCGACGCCGCGUGGGGGAUGAAGGCCUUCGGGUUGUAAACUCUUUUCGCUAGGGACGAAGCUUUUUGUGACGGUACCUAGAGAAGAAGCACCGGCUAACUACGUG
rnacentral:rRNA from 1 species